GGCAUUCUUUUCGCAAAUUGCAACACUUAGAUUCCGCCGGAAAAUAGCGUGUAUAACGAGAGACACAGGGAAAAGACCCGUUCAAAAACUGGCGGUAUGCGGG
ensembl:ncRNA ZK795.7 ncRNA